rnacentral:rRNA from 1 species
UACAGAGGUCUCAAGCGUUGUUCGGAUUCAUUGGGCGUAAAGGGUGCGUAGGCGGCGCGGUAAGUCGGGUGUGAAAUCUCGGAGCUUAACUCCGAAACUGCAUUCGAUACUGCCGUGCUUGAGGACUGGAGAGGAGACUGGAACUGCGAGUGUAGAGGUGAAAUUCGUAGAUAUUCGCAAGAACACCAGUGGCGAAGGCGGCUCACUGGCCCGAUACUGACGCUGAGGCACGAAAGCGUGGGGAGCAAACAGG